rnacentral:lncRNA from 1 species
UAUUAUUAUUAUUUUACUUAUAUAUUUACCCCUUUAAAUAUAGGUUUUUUAAUUGUUGUUGUUAUUUUGUACCCCCUUAGCUCCGUGCCCUGUGCAGCGGAACCACCCACACCAUCCUACCACUCUGGUGCCGCUCUGCAAUUUUAUGAUUCAAAUGUAUAAUUAUGUUUAUAAAAUGGGUCACUAUAGGCUCAUGAAGAAGCUAGAGUUCCUUGGAACACGUGGCAAGUCCCAGUGCUUCUGAGAACAUUUCCCCUUAUCAGUUUAUAAUUUAGGCUGCAAUUGUGCAGCAUACAAUUUCUGAUUAUUAUUCAUAUAUUUGUUUUAUCUAUGUAUUUUAUUCGUCAGAUGGCGGACACAGGGCCAGCCCCACCAUUAGGAAGAGUGAGGCAGCUCUCAGGUGCAGCAGAAAUUCUAGCCCACCAUCAGUAGAGGAGGUGCCAUAUUGUCCUUUCGCCUCAGGCAGCAAAGUGUAUUGGGCAGCCACACAGUUAUUGACUGUAGGAUGCCCAGGCCUAACACCCACCUGUUCCUUGGUGAAAACUUAAUUCAUCUCAACCCAAACUUCCAAUUUAAGACUCAUCCACACUGCCUCAUAUCCUGCUGCUCUCCCUUGGGAAAAGCCACUCUUUAGUGCUCCAUCGGAACAAUUGGCAAUCUGGAUUUCCAGCUGAACACUAAAGAGGGGGUUUAAGGAGCAGGCAAGUGGAAGUGUGAACGAGCCCUUAGAAAACAGGUACAGUGGUGCCCCACAAGACGAAUGCCUCGCAAGACGGAAAACUCGCUAGACGAAAGGGUUUUCCGUUUUUUGAGCUGCUUCGCAAGACGAAUUUCCCUAUGGGCUUGCUUUGCAAGACGAAAACGUCUUGCAAGUUUGUUUCCUUUUUCGUAAAACCGUUAAUACCCAGGGUGCAUUGCUUGAAGAGGUGCAGUUGCGACUUGACUUCGAGGAGCAACACAUUGCACGUGGUGUGGUAGCCUUUUCUGAGGUUUUUGAGGACUUUGCUGAUUUUUGAAGCUUUUCCAAAACUUCUUUUGCAGCCGUUUGGUAAGUUAAAACUUUUUUGGGGGUUUUUGGAUUUUGGGUUGGGGUGUUUGGAAUUCAAGGACUUGGUGUUGGGGAGGGGUUUGCAAGAAUCUGGGAGCUUGUGUGGUUUUUUUUGAAUUUUUAUGAUUUUCUGUGACCAUUGGGGCACUCUGCUGUUUGUUUGUUUUUAAUUCUGGGUUUGAAUUUCUGUGUGGUCGGUGGCUGGGGGAACAGUUGAGGAGGGGUUUGCAAGAAUCUGGGAGCUUGUGUGGUUUUUUUUCUGCAUUUUUAUGAUUUUCUGUGACCAUUGGGCCAUGUUGUUUUUUUCAAAAAAAUUUCUGAGUUUGAAUUUCUGUGUGGUGGGUGGCUGGGGGAACAGUUGAGGAGGGGUUUGCAAGAAUCUGGGAGCUUGUGUGGUUUUUUUUGAAUUUUUAUGAUUUUCUGUGACCAUUGGGCCAUGUUGUUUUUUUAAAAAAAAAAUUCUGAGUUUGAAUUUCUGUGUGGUGGGUGGCUGGGGGAACAGUUGAGGAGGGGUUUGCAACAGUUGGGGAGGGGUUUGCAAUUUCUGUGUGGUGGGUGGGUGGCUGGGGGAACAGUUGAGGUUUUUGAAGACUUUGGUGAUUUUUAAAGCUUUUCCAAAACUUCUUUUGCAGCCAUUUGAGGAUUUUGAAGACUUUGGUGAUUUGCAGCCACUUCGUAAGUUAAACUUUUAAAACUUUUUUGGGGGUUUUUGGAUUUUGGGUUGGGUGUUUGGAAUUCAAGGACUUGGUUCUGGGUUUGAAUUCCUGUGUGGUGGGUGGCUGGGUGCUUUUGAAUUUUUUGGGUGUGAAGCACUGAUUAUUAUUUUUUUUCCCUGAGUUUACGAAGCUAGGAGCUGUGCUGCCAUGGGACCCAAGAAGACUGCUGCUGCAGAGGCCGGCGAGAGGAAGAAGGAGAAGGUGACGCCGGAAAUGAAUAAGGAGAUCAUCCGGAAGCACGACGGUGGAAUGCGUGUGACAGACCUCGCCAGGGAGUACGGCAGGAACCCAUCGACCAUCGGCACCAUCCUGAAGAUGAGGGAGAAGAUCCUUGCGACUGAUGCAGCCAAGGGAGUCACCAGGAUCGUGAAGAACCGCCCAGCUGUUCUGGAGGAGGUCGAGAAGUUGCUGCUCAUCUGGUUAGAAGAGAAGCAGCGUGCAGGGGACACAGUGACUGAGGGCGUGAUUUGUGAGAAGGCCAAGGCCUUGCACGCAGACCUCAUCCGGGAACAGCCAAGAACCUCAGGCGAGCCAGAAGUCUUCAAGGCAAGCAGAGGCUGGUUUGACCAGUUCAAGACAAGAUCUGGAAUCCACAGCGUGGUCAGGCAUGGAGAGGCUGCCAGUUCUGAUGUUCCUGCGGCUGAAGACUUUGCAGCGGAGUUCCUGGAGGUUGUGUCCUCCAAAGAACUGAGGGACAUUUGCCAGAAGUGGAAAGAUGUGCAGGCUUUUGCACAGCGGCACCACCCUGACAAGGACCUGACACGUGACCUUGCGAACACUUUUGAUACGAGGGUCAUGUCGUCUUUCAGGGAGGUGCUGAAAAGGCGGAUGAAGCAGCAGACCAUGGACAGGUUCUUCAGCAAGAAGCAAAGAGUGGAAGAGGAACCUUCUUCGAGUUGUCCCCCAGAGUCUUAGAAAAUGUACUGUACACUUUGAUGAUUUUUAAAUGUUUUUCUGUCAUGUUUAGAAACUUAAUUUAUUGUUCCUUCAAUUUUUGAAAUGCUCUUUACAGUAUGUGUGACUUUAAAGAGCACUUAAUAAACUCUUGUUGUACCAAA